rnacentral:rRNA from 1 species
GAUGAACGCUGGCGGCAGGCCUAACACAUGCAAGUCGAACGGGUCCUUCGGGACUAGUGGCGGACGGGUGAGUAACGCGUGGGAACGUGCCCCUUGGUACGGAAUAGCCCCGGGAAACUGGGAGUAAUACCGUAUGUGGUCGAGAGACGAAAGAUUUAUCGCCAAGGGAUCGGCCCGCGUUGGAUUAGGUAGUUGGUGGGGUAAUGGCCUACCAAGCCGACGAUCCAUAGCUGGUUUGAGAGGAUGAUCAGCCACACUGGGACUGAGACACGGCCCAGACUCCUACGGGAGGCAGCAGUGGGGAAUCUUAGACAAUGGGGGAAACCCUGAUCUAGCCAUGCCGCGUGAUCGAUGAAGGCCUUAGGGUUGUAAAGAUCUUUCAGGUGGGAAGAUAAUGACUGUACCACCAGAAGAAGCCCCGGCUAACUCCGUG